UCCGAGAUAAUACGGGCGCUCCAUCAGUUUUUUGAAAUUUUUGGUUAGUUAUGUCUGCCCAUGAUUUCAGGAGCCAUUUCCUCCACCGCACAGUUAUAGAGUUGCCUGUGAGUCUCAAACAGAUAAUUAUGCUCUUUAUUUUCUCAAUCCGAUAUGAAACUCAGCAGAGAUACCAUGGACGGUGGAUAUUGUUAUCAGUCAGCAGAGAAUUGCAACUUUGCUCCUAAUCUAUUCCUUAUUCCACGCCUAUAACGUCGACGGGUCUUGCUUGGGUUUCGAACUGGUUAGUCUUCUCGGUCGGAUUUUGCUGCGGUAUUAUUGAUCAAGUCUAUGGACAACAAUUUCUCACUGGUUCUAGCAAUAUUCAGGGUGGAAGUCUUCAACUGAACUUUUGCUCAAAAGGAGAACUUAAUAUUGCAGAUUUUGGGUGGUUAGUGCACAGAAUUAACAAAAGACAGAUCAUGUACGAAAUUUUGGAUUAUUUACCACAUGAGAUAGGUAUGUGCAUUACAUGUGUGUUUCUUGAGCAUUUCAUCCUCUAAAAGGGUCUUUUGGGUCGGAACAUAUGUUUGUGCAAUUCACUGUAUUGUAUUUAAUUGCAGGAAAACAAAUAUUAAAACACAUUUAUAUUUGAUAGUUAAGUUGCAACAAAUGAUCACACGAUAGUUAAGUUGCAACAAAUCACACGGCUUUUAAUUUCUGCACAGAUAAAUGCCAAUAAUACCACGUUUGAACUCUUAGUUACGCAUGCAGCCUCCAAAUCAGAUUUAUUUUUUUUGCUUCGAUUAGCACUAAUUAAGUGUGGUAGCUAGCGAGUAGUCUCUGCACCUACUUGUGUGCUCAUUCCAUUAGUGAUUUUUGUAAUCAACCAAAAGGUCCAAAUUUCAUGUCCCACUUCCAGAAGAUCAAAUUAGGCUCUAUUCCGUUAACCUGCGUUGAUGUGAGACACGCGUGCACGACCUUAUUUUAUGAGCCGUGAACCUACGUUGAUGCGAGAGACGUGUACACGACCUUAUUUUAUGAGUCGGAGAGUAUCUUUGUAAGUAGUAUUUCAUCAAUUGGAUUAGUGUAGUAAAAUUAACAAAAUGAUCAUGAUCCCGCGGUAUGAGUUCCUGUGGUUAAUGGAUAUUCCUUUUAAUUGUGUUCAUGCCAGCAGGAAAGGGAGAUCAACCUUCAAAGAUAGGGGGCCGGAAGCACUCCAUGGAGAGAACUAACAAAGUUCUGGCACUUGCUCUACAUUGGAAGAGCAUGAGCAAGUAUCGACAUCUGGAGUCUUGGUGUACUGCGCUAUGAGUUCCUUUAUGGUGUCCCUCCGUUUGAGCAAAAGAACAAUCAGAUAUCAUCGUGACAGUUGUGUAGUUUGUAAUCUAACUGUUUUGUACUUGAGCAGUUGCCUAUAUAUAUUAGUUUAUAGGGACUAUGAAUAAUUAGAUACAAUGAGUACCUGUUGUAAUUACACAUUGAUGAUCUGAUGGAAUUGCUAAUACUAAAUAGAGAUGAAAUGCUGAAGUUAGUCUCUGGAUAUUUUGUAGGUGAAAGUAGUGAGAGAUGCUGACUUUGAUAGUGGAAGCUUGAAGAUAGAUACCAGAAGCACUUAUCAGGUUUCAACACUUUCUGAGUCUCAAUCUUCUUCGAAAGGAGGAUUAGCUCAUCAGCUAUAAAUGAAGAUGAGGAACCUGAGCCCAGUGGGGGUGUGGCUGGUACAGUGAGGCGACACAUGCCUAUUGAUACUCUUGAUCCCCCUGGGGCUAUUCUUCAUUUUUUUGUUGGGGACUCUUAUGAUCCUAAGCAGUUUGCAGCAAGUCUGAUGAUGAUCAUAUAUUAAGAAAGUUGCACCCUAAAGGCAUCUGGUAUCUAACUGUUCUUGGCACAACAGCAACUACUCAGAGAGAAUAUAUUGCACUGCCUGCUUUUCGCCGUAUAAAUUUAAAGGAGAAGGAGGUUUACAAGUCAGUUGCGCAUGAUCACUCCGUCAUCAAACUGGAUGGGGAGCUCAUCCUUGAAUCCUUGAUGUUUACUUUUCUUUCCUAUUCAUAUUUUCAAACGGUUCGUAGUGAUUGUUAGUUAAACUUUUUGUGUUAUUCCAGACCUUAUUGAAUGAUUCGGAUUAAUGUUUUAUUCAUAAUUGAUGACUCUGCGUUUGGGAUGAAGUAAUCUGUUUUUUGAUGCUUAUCGAUUUAAACAACAGUGCUGCACAUCCUUGAAACUUAGAUGAUCCUCUCAGUAUCAAGAAAUAAGCUAAAGAAACUUCAAUGUAUUGGUUCACAGAGUGAUUAAGUCUGCAGGUUCUGUGCGGAGCAAUGUGACCAGUUUAGAUUAUUUUGAUCUAUGCCUUAUACUCUCAUUAAAGAUUAUCCCAGAAACUACAGGUAUAUUAGUCUGGGUUCUUUUCUUG